rnacentral:rRNA from 1 species
ACGGCUCAGUAACACGUAGUCAAUCUACCCUAUGGACGGGAAUAACCUCGGGAAACUGAGAAUAAUGCCCGAUAGAACAUUAUGCCUGGAAUGGUUUAUGUUUCAAAUGAUUUAUCGCCAUAGGAUGGGACUGCGGCCUAUCAGUUUGUUGGUGAGGUAAUGGCCCACCAAGACUAUUACAGGUACGGGCUCUGAGAGGAGUGGCCCGGAGAUGGGUACCGAGACACGGACCCAGGCCCUAUGGGGCGCAGCAGGCGAGAAAACUUUGCAAUGUGCGAAAGCACGACAAGGUUAAUCCGAGUGGUUUCUGCUAAAGAAACCUUUUGUCAGUCCUAGAAACACUAACGAAUAAGGGGUGGGCAAGUUCUGGUGUCAGCCGCCGCGGUAAAACCAGCACCUCAAGUGGUCAGGAUGAUUAUUGGGCCUAAAGCAUCCGUAGCCCGUUUUGUAAGUUUUCGGUUAAAUCCAUGCGCUUAACGUAUGGGCUGCCGGGAAUACUGCAUAACUAGGAAGUGGGAGAGGUAGACGGUACUCGGUAGGAAGGGGUAAAAUCCUUUGAUCUAUUGAUGACCACCUGUGGCGAAGGCGGUCUACCAGAACACGUUCGACGGUGAGGGAUGAAAGCUGGGGGAGCAAACCGGAUUAGAUACCCGGGUAGUCCCAGCUGUAAACUAUGCAAACUCAGUGAUGCAUUGGCUUAUGGCCAAUGCAGUGCUGCAGGGAAGCCGUUAAGUUUGCCGCCUGGGAAGUACGUACGCAAGUAUGAAACUUAAAGGAAUUGGCGGGGGAGCAC